rnacentral:rRNA from 1 species
AUGAACGCUGGCGGCAGGCUUAACACAUGCAAGUCGAACGCCCCGCAAGGGGAGUGGCGCACGGGUGAGUAACGCGUGGGAAUAUGCCCUUCACUACGGAACAACGUCGGGAAACUGACGCUAAUACCGUAUAAUGACUCCGGUCCAAAGAUUUAUCGGUGAAGGAUUAGCCCGCGUAAGAUUAGGUAGUUGGUGGGGUAAUGGCCUACCAAGCCGACGAUCUUUAGCUGGUCUGAGAGGAUGAUCAGCCACACUGGGACUGAGACACGGCCCAGACUCCUACGGGAGGCAGCAGUGAGGAAUUUUGGACAAUGGGCGAAAGCCUGAUCCAGCCAUGCCGCGUGAGUGAUGAAGGCCUUCGGGUUGUAAAACUCUUUCAGAUGUGAAGAUAAUGACGGUAGCAUCAGAAGAAGCUCCGGCUAACUCCGU